rnacentral:rRNA from 1 species
CAGCAGCCGCGGGAAUACGAAGGGUGCAAGCGUUAAUCGGAAUUACUGGGCGUAAAGCGUACGUAGGCGGUGAGUUAAGUCUGCUGUGAAAUCCCCGGGCUCAACCUGGGAAUGGCAGUGGAUACUGGCUCGCUAGAGUGUGGUAGAGGAUAGUGGAAUUUCCGGUGUAGUAGUGAAAUGCGUAGAGAUCGGAAGGAACAUCUGUGGCGAAGGCGACUAUCUGGGCCAACACUGACACUGAGGCACGAAAGCUAGGGGAGCAAAUGGGAUUAGAUACCCCUGUAGUCCCUGUCUCUUAUAC